GAUAUCGCUUUUAUCCCUCCAAGGGUAAAAGAAAUGGAUAAACUUCGACCCAAAUGCUGGCUUGUACUUACUCAUCAAAUCAAAGACAACGAUAUGUUUUAUAACAACCUAGUUACUGGUUGCGUUUACAUAUGUCAAUGUGCAAGCAACUCGCAACUACAACUCACACGUCUCCGUUUGAAGAAUAUAAGAUAUUAUCGUCUCAUGAUCACUCGUGAUAAAAUCCAUGAAGUGAUUCAAAUGAGCGUUGGUUGAAUCCAAUACUCGAAUCUCAUUCCAAGAUCACUCAUGAACACUACAACCACUUUGUCCCAGACAAACUACAGACUCAUUCAUGACAGUCUUGCCUCAAUACCUACUUCCAAAUUAUAAUCGAAUGUGGAUGGUUUGAGUAACUUAGUUAUUCAGGAAGUCAAAACAUGCAAUGUGAAACACAAGAAUAAUCGAAUCCAAUAUGGUCUCAAAACUUAUGAAUAUAAAUAAAACACCUUUUAUUUAAUCACCAUGUUGAUUACACAUUAUUCAUUGCAUAAUGUUUCAAAUAAUGAGCUUAAUACUUGAAUUAAAACAAUAGUUGUCCCAUGCACACUAUGUUUUCUAAAUAAUAGUUAUACCAUACUCUAAGUAUGCACACUAUGUUUGUCUAUGUUUGUCACAGAUAUCGCUUUUAUCACUCCAAAGGUAAAAGAAAUGGAUAAACUUCGACCCAAAUGCUCGCUUGUACUUACUCAUCAAAUCAAACACAACGAUAUGUUUUAUAACAACCAAGUUACUGGUUGCGUUUACAUAUGUCAAUGUGCAAGCAACUCGCAACUACAACUCACACAUCUCUGUUUGAAGAAUAUAAGAUAUUAUCGUCUCAUGAUCACUCGUGA
rnacentral:lncRNA from 1 species